rnacentral:rRNA from 1 species
GGAUAACUACUGGAAACGGUAGCUAAUACCGCAUAACGUCGCAAGACCAAAGAGGGGGACCUUCGGGCCUCUUGCCAUCAGAUGUGCCCAGAUGGGAUUAGCUAGUAGGUGGGGUAACGGCUCACCUAGGCGACGAUCCCUAGCUGGUCUGAGAGGAUGACCAGCCACACUGGAACUGAGACACGGUCCAGACUCCUACGGGAGGCAGCAGUGGGGAAUAUUGCACAAUGGGCGCAAGCCUGAUGCAGCCAUGCCGCGUGUAUGAAGAAGGCCUUCGGGUUGUAAAGUACUUUCAGCGGGGAGGAAGGCGAUAAGGUUAAUAACCUUGUCGAUUGACGUUACCCGCAGAAGAAGCACCGGCUAACUCCGUGCCAGCAGCCGCGGUAAUACGGAGGGUGCAAGCGUUAAUCGGAAUUACUGGGCGUAAAGCGCACGCAGGCGGUCUGUCAAGUCGGAUGUGAAAUCCCCGGGCUCAACCUGGGAACUGCAUUCGAAACUGGCAGGCUAGAGUCUUGUAGAGGGGGGUAGAAUUCCAGGUGUAGCGGUGAAAUGCGUAGAGAUCUGGAGGAAUACCGGUGGCGAAGGCGGCCCCCUGGACAAAGACUGACGCUCAG